GGUCAGGACGAACGCUGGCGGCGUGCUUAACACAUGCAAGUCGAACGGUGAAGCGGAGCUUGCUCUGCGGAUCAGUGGCGAACGGGUGAGUAACACGUGAGCAACCUACCCUUGACUCUGGGAUAACAGUUGGAAACAGCUGCUAAUACCGGAUAUGACCCUGGUGGACAUCCACUGGGGUGGAAAGCUCCGACGGUCAAGGAUGGGCUCGCGGCCUAUCAGCUUGUUGGUGAGGUAACGGCUCACCAAGGCGUCGACGGGUAGCCGGCCUGAGAGGGCGACCGGCCACACUGGGACUGAGAUACGGCCCAGACUCCUACGGGAGGCAGCAGUGGGGAAUAUUGCACAAUGGGCGAAAGCCUGAUGCCAGCAACGCCGCGUGCGGGAUGACGGCCUUCGGGUUGUAAACCGCUUUCAGCAGGGACGAAGGGUUUCUGACGGUACCUGCAGAAGAAGCACCGGCUAACUACGUGCCAGCCGCCGC
rnacentral:rRNA from 1 species